rnacentral:rRNA from 1 species
UGAAAGCGUUUUAGGUUUACCAACUACGUAAAUAACAGAUGACAGUGGUCAGGCCUAUAUAACCUCCAUUUCAAAAUUUGACCUCAAAUCAGGCAGGAAUACCCGCUGAACUUAAGCAUAUCAAUAAGCGGAGGAAAAGAAACCAACAGGGAUUGCCUUAGUAACGGCGAGUGAAGCGGCAAAAGCUCAAAUUUGAAAUCUGGCACCUUUGGUGUCCGAGUUGUAAUUUGAAGAAAGUAACUUUUGGAAUAAGCCUUGCAUAAGUUCCUUGGAACAGGACGUCAUAGAGGGUGAGAAUCCCGUAUAUGGUGGGGUAUUUAUUUCAAUGUAAAGUGCUUUCGAAGAGUCGAGUUGUUUGGGAAUGCAGCUCUAAGUGGGUGGUAAAUUCCAUCUAAAGCUAAAUAUUGGCGAGAGACCGAUAGCGAACAAGUACAGUGAUGGAAAGAUGAAAAGAACUUUGAAAAGAGAGUGAAAAAGUACGUGAAAUUGUUGAAAGGGAAGGGCUUGAAAUCAGACUUGGUAUUCAGUGAUCAGCAAUCUCUCGGGGUUGUGCACUUGCUGUUUACUGGGCCAGCAUCGGUUUUGACGGUGAGAUAAUAGCACUUGAAUGUGGCUCUCUUCGGGGAGUGUUUAUAGCUUGUGUUGAUAUCAUCAGUCGGGAUCGAGGACCGCGCAUUUUGCUAGGAUGCUGGCGUAAUGAUUUUAAGCC